UAGUGUGCGACUAAGUGAAAAGUACACCAA
rnacentral:piRNA from 1 species